rnacentral:rRNA from 1 species
AGAUUGAACGCUGGCGGCAGGCCUAACACAUGCAAGUCGAGCGGUAGAGAGGUGCUUGCAUCUCUUGAGAGCGGCGGACGGGUGAGUAAUGCCUAGGAAUCUGCCUAGUGGUGGGGGAUAACGUUCGGAAACGGACGCUAAUACCGCAUACGUCCUACGGGAGAAAGCGGGGGACCUUCGGGCCUCGCGCCAUUAGAUGAGCCUAGGUCGGAUUAGCUAGUUGGUGAGGUAAUGGCUCACCAAGGCGACGAUCCGUAACUGGUCUGAGAGGAUGAUCAGUCACACUGGAACUGAGACACGGUCCAGACUCCUACGGGAGCCAGCA